rnacentral:rRNA from 1 species
CCGACGAACUUUAGCGGCGUGCUUACACAUGCAAGUCGAGCGGAAAUGCCCUUCGGGGGUACUCGAGCGGCGAACGGGUGAGUAACACGUGAGCAAGCUGCCCCUGACUCUGGGAUAAGCCUGGGAAACCGGGUCUAAUACCGGAUGUGACCACUUCGGGCAUCCGAUGGUGGUGGAAAGUUUUUCGGUUGGGGAUGGGCUCGCGGCCUAUCAGCUUGUUGGUGGGGUGAUGGCCUACCAAUGCGACGACGGGUAACCGGCCUGAGAGGGCGACCGGUCACACUGGGACUGAGACACGGCCCAGACUCCUACGGGAGGCAGCAGUGGGGAAUAUUGCGCAAUGGGCGGAAGCCUGACGCAGCGACGCCGCGUGAGGGAUGACGGCCUUCGGGUUGUAAACCUCUUUCAGCAGGGACGAAGCUAACGUGACGGUACCUGCAGAAGAAGCGCCGGCUAACUACGUGCCAGCAGCCGCGGUAAUACGUAGGGCGCAAGCGUUGUCCGGAAUUAUUGGGCGUAAAGAGCUCGUAGGCGGUUUGUCGCGUCUGUCGUGAAAGCCCACGGCUUAACUGUGGGUCUGCGGUGGAUACGGGCAGACUAGAGGCAGGUAGGGGAGAAUGGAAUUCCCGGUGUAGCGGUGAAAUGCGCAGAUAUCGGGAGGAACACCGGUGGCGAAGGCGGUUCUCUGGGCCUGUACUGACGCUGAGGAGCGAAAGCGUGGGGAGCGAACAGGAUUAGAUACCCUGGUAGUCCACGCCGUAAACGUUGGGCGCUAGGUGUGGGGUUCCUCCAUGGAUUCCGCGCCGUAGCUAACGCAUUAAGUGCCCACGCCUGGGGAGUACGGCCGCAAGGCUAAAACUCAAAGGAAUUGACGGGGACCCGCACAAGCAGCGGAGCAUGUGGUUCAAUUCGACGCAACGCGAAGAACACUUACCUGGGCUUGACAUGUUGGUGACAGCCGUGGAAACACGGUCUCCAUUCGGGGCACCCUUCACAGGUGGUGCAUGGCUGUCGUCAGCUCGUGCCGUGAGGUGUUGGGUUAAGUCCCGCAACGAGCGCAACCCCCGUCUCAUGUUGCCAGCGGGUAAUGCCGGGGACUCAUGAGAGACUGCCGGUGACAAACCGGAGGAAGGUGGGGAUGACGUCAAGUCAUCAUGCCCCUUAUGCCCAGGGCUACACACGUGCUACAUCGGCCGCCACAGAGGGUUGCGAUACCGCGAGGUGGAGCGAAUCCCAAAAAGGCGGUCUCGGUUCGGAUUGGAGGCUGAAACUCGCCUCCAUGAAGGUGGAGUUGCUAGUAAUCGCAGAUCAGCAAUGCUGCGGUGAUACGUUC